UGCGGCUGCCCGUCGAUGGGUG
rnacentral:misc_RNA from 1 species